AAAAUGGAAGUCGUAGUUGCAGUUUUGUUUUAGAGCGACGGUUUGUGUUGUUUCUAGGGAACACAGCAUAAAUAUUAGGUUAAAUGUGGUAUGAACUUCGACCGACCGGAGUCUCGGUAUAACGUGUUGUAGAUUCCAGUACUACGGUUCACAAUAAUCGGACAUGAAACCAGAAAGAAACCAGCAGCAACACAAUCUCCUGUAAAGCGGCUGAGAUGGACAUCGUACCUGGACGUUUAAUAGCCACGGCAACUAUCUACAUGGCCUCGAAGAGAUCGGCGAUAUCGCUGGUGCGGUCAACGUUACCAUUUGGCAGUCCUUUCGGCAGAUGCACUUGCUCGCGGCAGAGCUUCAAGUGCACUACACCAAUCGCAUAGUUACCACAGAUGCAUCCAUUGGAACGAAUCACCAACAAAGGCACAAUUGAUAUGCCACGCAUAGGUGUUCCGAGCUACUUCUUCGGCUACAUUUGUACUUGAUACUGGUUAAUCAGAUUCACCCAUAAGGAUAAACCUAGUUUAGGGUUUAA